rnacentral:rRNA from 1 species
AGUCGAACGGUAACAGGAAGCAGCUUGCUGCUUCGCUGACGAGUGGCGGACGGGUGAGUAAUGUCUGGGAAACUGCCUGAUGGAGGGGGAUAACUACUGGAAACGGUAGCUAAUACCGCAUAACGUCGCAAGACCAAAGAGGGGGACCUUCGGGCCUCUUGCCAUCGGAUGUGCCCAGAUGGGAUUAGCUAGUAGGUGGGGUAACGGCUCACCUAGGCGACGAUCCCUAGCUGGUCUGAGAGGAUGACCAGCCACACUGGAACUGAGACACGGUCCAGACUCGUACGGGAGGCAGCAGUGGGGAAUAUUGCACAAUGGGCGCAAGCCUGAUGCAGCCAUGCCGCGUGUAUGAAGAAGGCCUUCGGGUUGUAAAGUACUUUCAGCGGGGAGGAAGGCGACAGGGUUAAUAUACCCCGUCGAUUGACGUUACCCGCAGAAGAAGCACCGGCUAACUCCGUGCCAGCAGCCGCGGUAAUACGGAGGGUGCAAGCGUUAAUCGGAAUUACUGGGCGUAAAGCGCACGCAGGCGGUCUGUCAAGUCGGAUGUGAAAUCCCCGGGCUCAACCUGGGAACUGCAUUCGAAACUGGCAGGCUAGAGUCUUGUAGAGCGGGGGUAGAAUUCCAGGUGUAGCGGUGAAAUGCGUAGAGAUCUGGAGGAAUACCGGUGGCGAAGGCG